GAUAAAAGACCACGCUGCCCUGCAAAUCCAUGGUCCACUGGGACACAUCUCCAGCAAACUUUUCACAUAAUCAGAAUGUAUUUUCCUCCCCAGAAAAAAGAACAUAAAUUAUUUCUGCUGACAACAUGAUAACAGCAGCCUGUACAUUUCAAAAAUGUAAAUAAAAUACAGCUGUACAAUCUGCAUGCAGAGCAAUACUGUUUUAAAAGCCUAAGUUCAGGAAGAAAAAGACAUGAUUAAGCUAAAUUCAUCUAUUAGCUUUUAUGAUAGAGAAAGGCUGCAUUUACUAGCUGGGAAGAAUAAGCAAUUUUUAAUGAGCUACAGGAGAAUAAAGUAAAAAAAAAAAAAAAGGUUUAGUCAAGCCCUGACAAAUAAUGUGUCACAGGUUGGAAACACUUUUUUUUUUAUUAUUCCCUUAUUAAACAAAAAUUAUAAGUAACAGUAACACAAAUUGUUCACAAAUAAAUACUCCAAACAAAAACAUGAGAAAAAAAAACCCUACACUUUAAGAAAAUGUUCAUUUAAACAGUUAGAGGCUCAAGAAUAUUUUGGCAUGAUUUUAAAAAAACCAGCUGUCUUAAUUUAACAGCAAGUUGUCUAGCUUCAUGUAAGGAAGAACACAACACAGCAUGUUUGCACGCUGGUAAGAAGUAUUAGAUUUUUUCAAACUUUUUUUAGUGUUCAAAGAAUACAAUUUUAAAAUCACAGACAAGAAAACAAAAGUUUUGUCUUGCUUCUCGUUUUAUGAAUGUCACUGCCACUAUGUUGUGUUAGUUUCUUCAGUUAUGAACACAGAAAACAGCUUUAAAAAAACACUUCAGAAGAUCCUUGGAGAGGACAGCUUGAAUACUAUUUUAAACACCUUCUGUGAGUUUUCUUCUUGUUCAUGAUAAUUUUGAAGAACAUUCAUAUCAAAGCAGAGAAGAUGUUACUUUUAGCUUUCUUAUAUUGUGGACUGCUUAUUUUACAACAAACUGAUGAAGUCCAAAACAAUUUUUUAUUGUUUUAACACAGACUUCAAACUUACAAUACUCUUCUUGGUCUCUUCAAACUGUGGUAUGGUGUAUUACAUUAACCUAUAAAGCCAAAAAUCAAGAUAAAGCGGAUUCAAUUUAAUCAUAUUAUAUUUUCAUGACUGGCUUUUCAGUUAAUUAACCUGGCAACAAGUUCAUUUAGUAACAGUUAAUCCUUACAGUACCUGGUUGACUUAACUAAAGGACCCUGUGGUUUUCUCACUUUUGUACAUGAGCACAUUCACAUGUAAAUCAAAUGGUCCUGAUGGCCAGGGGUUUUCCCCAUUAUAACAAAAAAUAAGAAAGGAGGAUUAGUUAUACUAAUGAAGAUUAUAUCAAACAAAUGACAGAUAUUUCCAAGGAGCAACAUGAAAGAUAUACAGAGAUUUAAUAUGACGCUAAUCCUACUUUUUGCUUUUUUAAAACUUGCUUAAUUUUUCUAAUUUAAGUAGUAGAAUGAGCAUUCUAAAACUUUUUUUUUUGGGGGGAAAAAUGCUUUUUGAUGCCUACUGCCUAACUUUACACACAAUAAACAGCACCCUGAAAUCUCUGAAAGCCUUUUUGAUCUGACCAGUUUCUACAACUAUCUGAGCUGUGAUAUUUUUAUUUUACUAAAAAGUCUCUAGUUAGAAACAAUAUACAAAGUAAAUGAAGGCUCCUGCCAAAAAAGGCAAUUUUUCACAAAAUAACUGUGUAUCGUUAACAGAGAUGGUCAUUCAAGAAGUCAGUCAGUCAAUGGCUACUUUCAAGUAAAUCUGCAUGUUAGUUACAAUCUGAAGUUAAACAGAUAGUCGUCAACCAUAAAUUAAAAGAGCAUAAUAUUGGUAUUUAAAAACUGGAAUGCAAAAAAGGAACAAACUAUUUUAACCAUUAAGUUGGUAUAAUUUAUUUAAGACACAUUUACCUGAAAAACAA